UUCUACGGCCAUACCACCCUGAACACACCCGAUCUCCUCUGAUCUUGGAAGCUAAUCAGGGUAGGACCUGGUUAGUACUUGGAUGGGAGAAUGUAAAAUGGUGUAGUCA
rnacentral:rRNA from 1 species